rnacentral:rRNA from 1 species
GACAGAGGGUGCAAACGUUGUUCGGAAUUACUGGGCGUAAAGCGCGCGCAGGCGGUGCGGUAAGUCUCUGGUGAAAGCGCUCGGCUUAACUGGGCGAGGGCCGGGGAGACUGCCACGCUGGAGGGGAGCAGAGGCGAGUGGAAUUCCGGGUGUAGUGGUGAAAUGCGUAGAGAUCCGGAGGAACACCAGUGGCGAAGGCGGCUCGCUGGGCUCUACCUGACGCUGAGGCGCGAAAGCCAGGGGAGCAAACGGG